rnacentral:lncRNA from 1 species
UAUCCCCCCUAUGGCUGUUAGUUAUGGUAGUUACUGUAUGAUAUUAUUGCAUGCGAUUGUAUUUAUGUUUCGUAUGUUUAGAUAAUUAUUUAUGCUGUUUACGCUAUUUUUGUUGGAGUUACUAAUGCUUUAUUGUUUCUGUUUUUGUCUUUUUUUUGUUUUACUGCUGUUUUUCCUUUUAUCCUAUGAGCCGGGGUCGAUUGGAAACAGC